rnacentral:rRNA from 1 species
GAUUAACGCUGGCGGCGUGCAUAACACAUGCAAGUCGAACGAUGAAACUUUACUGACUUCUUCGGAAUGAUUUAAAGCGGAUUAGUGGCGAACGGGUGAGUAACGCGUGAGUAACCUGCCUUACACAAGGGGAUAGCCUCUGGAAACGGAGAAUAAUACCCUAUGAAACCAGACAAUCGCAUGAUAAUCUGGUCAAAAUGUUUAGUGGUGUAAGAUGGACUUGCGUCUGAUUAGCUAGUUGGUGAGAUAAAAGCUCACCAAGGCAACGAUCAGUAGCCGGCUUGGGAGAGUGUACGGCCACAUUUGGACCUGGAACAGGGCCAGACCCCCACGGGAGGGCGCAGUUGGGAAUUUUGGCCCAAUGGGGAAACCCCGAUGCAGCCAAGCCCGGUGAUUUAGAAGGCCUUCGGGUUGUAAAAAUCUUUUGUAUAGGAAGAAAAUGACAGUACUAUACGAAUAAGGUCCGGCUAAUUACGUG